GAUGAACGCUGGCGGCGUGCCUAAUACAUGCAAGUCGAGCGAACGGACGAGAAGCUUGCCUCUCUGAUGUUGGCGGCGGACGGGUGAGUAACACGUGGAUAACCUACCUAUAAGACUGGGAUAACUUCGGGAAACCGGAGCUAAUACCGGAUAAUAUUUUGAACCGCAUGGUUCAAAAGUGAAAGACGGUCUUGCUGUCACUUAUAGAUGGAUCCGCGCUGCAUUAGCUAGUUGGUAAGGUAACGGCUUACCAAGGCAACGAUGCAUAGCCGACCUGAGAGGGUGAUCGGCCACACUGGAACUGAGACACGGUCCAGACUCCUACGGGAGGCAGCAGUAGGGAAUCUUCCGCAAUGGGCGAAAGCCUGACGGAGCAACGCCGCGUGAGUGAUGAAGGUCUUCGGAUCGUAAAACUCUGUUAUUAGGGAAGAACAUAUGUGUAAGUAACUGUGCACAUCUUGACGGUACCUAAUCAGAAAGCCACGGCUAACUACGUG
rnacentral:rRNA from 1 species